rnacentral:rRNA from 1 species
GACGAACGGUGGCGGCGUGCUUAAAACAUGCAAGUAGAACGGAAAGGCACUGCUUUUGGGGGGUGGUCGGGUGGCGAACGGGUGAGUAACACGUGAGUAACCUCCCCUGGCCGUUGGCAUGACUUCAGGGAACUGGGGCUACUACCGGGUAGGAGCUCCUGCUGCAUGGUGGAGGUGGGAAAGUUUCGGCGGUUGGGGGUGGACACGCGGCUUACUAGCUGGUUGGUGGGGUAGUGGCUUACCAAGGCUUUGACGGCUAGCCGGCCUGAGAGGGUGACCGGCCACAUUGGGACUGAGAUACGACCCAGACUCCUACGGGAGGCAGCAGUGGGGAAUAGUGCACAACGUGCGGAAGCCUGAUGCAGCAACGCCGCGUGCGGGAUGACGGCCUUCGGGUUGUAAACCGCUUUCGCCUGUGACGAAGCGUGAGUGACGGUAAUGGGUAAAGAAGCACCGGCUAACUACGU